AUUGAACGCUGGCGGCAGGCCUAACACAUGCAAGUCGAACGAGUGGCGGACGGGUGAGUAAUGUCUGGGAAACUGCCUGAUGGAGGGGGAUAACUACUGGAAACGGUAGCUAAUACCGCAUACCAUCGGAUGUGCCCAGAUGGGAUUAGCUAGUAGGUGGGGUAACGGCUCACCUAGGCGACGAUCCCUAGCUGGUCUGAGAGGAUGACAAGCAACACUGGAACUGAGAAACGGUCCAGACCCCUAGGGGAGGCAGCAGUGGGGAAUAUUGCACAAGGGGCGGAAGCCUGAGGCAGCCAGGCCGGGUUUAGGAAGAAGGCCUUCGGGUUGUAAAGUACUUUCAGCGGGGAGGCGUUACCCGCAGAAGAAGCACCGGUUAGCCCGGUGCCAGCAGCCGCGGUAAUA
rnacentral:rRNA from 1 species